rnacentral:rRNA from 1 species
AACGCGAAGAACCUUACCUACUCUUGACAUCCAGAGAACUUAGCAGAGAUGCUUUGGUGCCUUCGGGAACUCUGAGACAGGUGCUGCAUGGCUGUCGUCAGCUCGUGUUGUGAAAUGUUGGGUUAAGUCCCGCAACGAGCGCAACCCUUAUCCUUUGUUGCCAGCGGUUCGGCCGGGAACUCAAAGGAGACUGCCAGUGAUAAACUGGAGGAAGGUGGGGAUGACGUCAAGUCAUCAUGGCCCUUACGAGUAGGGCUACACACGUGCUACAAUGGCGUAUACAAAGAGAAGCGACCUCGCGAGAGCAAGCGGACCUCAUAAAGUACGUCGUAGUCCGGAUUGGAGUCUGCAACUCGACUCCAUGAAGUCGGAAUCGCUAGUAAUCGUAGAUCAGAAUGCUACGGUGAAUACGUUCCCGGGUCUUGUACACAUCG